GAGCCGAUGAAGGACGGGACGAACACCGAUAUGCUUCGGGGAGCUGUAAGCAAGCUUUGAUCCGGAGAUUUCCGAAUGGGGAAACCCACCACUCGUAAUGGAGUGGUAUCCAUAUCUGAAUUCAUAGGAUAUGAGAAGGCAGACCCGGGGAACUGAAACAUCUAAGUACCCGGAGGAAGAGAAAGCAAAUGCGAUUCCCUGAGUAGCGGCGAGCGAAACGGGAUUAGCCCAAACCAAGAGGCUUGCCUCUUGGGGUUGUAGGACACUCUGUACGGAGUUACAAAGGAACGAGGUAGAUGAAGAGGUCUGGAAAGGCCCGCCAUAGGAGGUAACAGCCCUGUAG
rnacentral:rRNA from 1 species